UGAUCGUGGCUCACUGCAACUCUGCCUCCCAGGUACAAGUGAUUCUCUUGCCUCAGCCUCCCAGGUAGCUGGGAUUACAGGCACCUGCCACUAUGCCUGGCUAAUUUUUGUAUUUGUAUUUUUAGUAGAGAUGGGGUUUCGCCAUGUGGGCUUGGCUGGUCUCGAACUCCUGACUUCAGGUGAUCCACCCACCUGGGCCUCCCAAAUUGCUGAGAUUAGAGGAGUGAGCCACCACACCCAGCCUGAUUUUACUUUUUAAUGUUGGAGAAUUGUGUGCAUGCUGGUGAGCAUUCUCAAAUCCUUUUUUGAAACAAUGCAGGCUUCAAAUAAAUGAUGAGUCCCACUCCAGCAUAAGGUGUGUUGUGUAUUCACUUCCCUCUCUGUCCUCUUGGGUCCAGAAGUCUUGGGUCUUUUUUUUUUUUUUUUUUUGAGACGGAGUCUGGCUCUGUUGCCCAGGCUGGAGUGCAGUGGCGCGAUCUCGGCUCACCGCAAACUCUGCCUCCCGGGUUCAGGCCAUUCUCCUGCAUCAGCCUCCUAAGUAGCUGGGACUACAGGCGCCCGCCACCGCACCCGGCUAAUUUUUUGUAUUUUUAGUAGAGACGGGGUUUCACCGUGUUAGGCAGGAUGGUCUCGAUCUCCUGACCUCGUGAUCCUCUGAUCCUCCCGCCUCGGCCUCCCAAAGUACUGGGAUUACAGGCGUGAGCCACUGUGCCCGGCCUAGAAGUCUUGGGUCUUGAAGUCUCUUGGGUCUUGAAGUCUCUCAAUGUCCCCCACCUCUGAGGAUCUGCAUUCUCUUAGCCAUUCCUCCCUGGGGCAUUCUCUGGAAGUGGCCCUGGACUGCACACAGUUUACCCCUAGCCCCAGCCCCAGUGAGGGAGGAGGGCCCCUGACUGCAGGCAUUUUGAAGGAGGUGCUACCACUCACUGAGUCCAGCAUCCCAUUUCACUCCAGGCCCUGUUGAUGUGAGCCCUAGAGGAAGCACAGAUGCUUCCUUGUUUGAUCUUUUUUUUUUUCAAAUUAACUUAGAAGCUCAGAACUCACAAAACAUCUGGGCUGCCAGGGACCUUGCCAUUCAUCUGGUUCGAUCUCUUCAAUUUACAUUAUGCUGGGAAACCAGAGCCAUCAAGAAGGAGUGCUUCACCGGAGCUCAAACUGUAGGCAGGAAUCCAGGACUCUUAGCUCCCAGCGGGGCCUGGGCCUCCAAGCCCUGACCUGAUGGCCUCCUCCUCCUGGCCCUGCCCCAGCCUUACCUGUCGCCCAAUCCAUUUUGUCAGGACCCCCUCAGUCAACAAGCCCUGACUGACCAAUUUCAAGCCCUCCUCCACCCCGCAAUGACCUUACCUUUGUCUGGCUCACAUUCUACUCAAGGGAAUAAAAUAGGAAUCAUAACAUUACAUACUUAUGAGAACUUGCUCUAUGCCAGGCACCACGUUAAAACCCUGAACAGAAACUAUCAACACAUUUAAUUUAAUCUUCACAAAACCUUGAUGUGGAUAUAAUUACAUCCCAUGGAUGCAAUUAUCAUUCCCAUUUGCAGAUGAGAAAACUGAGGGCCAUUGAUGUUAACAACUUACCCAAGGCUAUACCCCAAGAAUGUCCCUGGGAAAUUUGAUUGUAAUUUUCUUAUCUUUUUUUUUUUCUUUUCUUUUCUUUUUUUUUUUUUUUUUUUCUUUUUGAGAGAGAGACAGGGUCUUGCUCUGUGGCCCAGGCUGGAGUGCAGUGGUAUGAUCUUGGCUCACUGCCACCUCUGCCUCUCAGGCUCAAGCCAUCCUCCCAUCUCAGCCUCCUGAGUAACUGAGACUAUAGGCACGCAUCACCAUGCCUGGCUAACUGAUCGCAGUCUUAACCUGUAGGUCAAACUGUCUCUUCAUACAGGAGACAAACUCAACAAAAAUGCAAGGAAUAUUUAUUGAACAGCUACUAUAUGCUGGACGCUGGACUAGACCCUACAGGGCUCAUGAAGAGGGGUGUGGAGGAUCUGUAAGAGAUCAUAUGCACUGUUGGGGAGUUGAGAGAGGCUUCUUGGAAAAGGCAUCUGAGAGAGGCUUUGAAGAAUGUCCAGGAUUCCAACAGACAGUGACAGGCAAGAGGUGUCCCCAGGAGCACUGAGGAAGGACCAGCAUGAGAAGUGUGGAGCCGGAGCAGCAGGGGUUCACUAGUGGCAGGUUAUGAGCAGGAUGCGAUGGAAGAUCAGGCGUGAAAGCUAAGUGGAGGCCGUACUAUAGAAGACUUUCUGGCAGGGUAAAGAGAUUUGGGAGAGCCCCUGACGUCUUUGAGCAUAAGAGUAGCCCGAGUCAAAGUUAUUUAAAGGUUUGGCCAGUGGGCAAGAUGUGGGCCUGCAGAAGCACCUGGCUGGGAAGUUGGGAGCCCAAACCAUCAGCUGCCCCACGGCCUUGGCAUUGAUGUUGUAGCACUGCCGGGCACCAGAACUGAGUCCACAGGGCAUUGCUAGAGCUCACAGCCUAUGGAAUUCAGUUCUCAGUGCCAGGUGGCCAAAGUUCUUUCAGCCUGGACGCUGCUCUUGCAUGCUUUCUUCUGUGAAUCGUCUCCCGUUCCCAGGAUGAGUAAGUUGAGGCCCAGGAUGGGUCACAUAAGGAACUUGUGAUACCAAGAGAACUCCUAUUCCAGGGAGGGUCUGAGCUUGGAGCUGAAAAUGGGGGCCCACAGCUAAGGAAAUGGACAGGAGUUCCAUAAAUUCCAACAGGAAUUGGAGUAGGUUAAGAGGGGAGGGGGCUCAGGGCCAUGGCAGGGAUCCAUCUGUCGCUUCCUGCCCAGAUGUGUUCCUGGUGGGGCCUGAUGUGGGGCUGGAGGGGUGAGGGGCUGGGGAAAGAGCCAGAACACGCACACUGAGAAGGGCAUCUCUAUGCAAACCAAGGGGCUUUCUGAGCUAAAGGGAGUCCCCAAGAUAUGGAUCCCCAAGAUAGGAGCCCAGCCCAGGAGUCCUAGCUCCCCAGAAAUCUCCCCAAAACCCUGAAUAAAGAUUUGAAGUACCUGGGAUAGUGGAGUGGAGGAGAAAGAGUUCCCUGAAGCACACUUUCAUUUUCUGGAGAGUUCAGCCGAGGGCUGGGUGCUCCCCUCACUCACAUGGCAAAGCUGCAGCCUAUCCCAGAGAGGGAAAGCCAAGCCUGCGCCUCAGGGGCACCCCAUCCCGACCCCUGCUUGAAUCCAGAGAGAGGGACAGCCACUUACCCACGAAACCUCC
rnacentral:lncRNA from 10 species